UACGGAGGGUGCGAGCGUUGUCCGGAUUCACUGGGUUUAAAGGGUGCGUAGGUGGGUUUGUAAGUCAGUGGUGAAAUCUCCAAGCUUAACUUGGAAACUGCCGUUGAUACUAUAAAUCUUGAAUGUUGUGGAGGUGAGCGGAAUAUGUCAUGUAGCGGUGAAAUGCUUAGAUAUGACAUAGAACACCAAUUGCGAAGGCAGCUCACUACACAAAGAUUGACACUGAGGCACGAAAGCGUGGGGAUCAAACAGG
rnacentral:rRNA from 1 species